rnacentral:tRNA from 1 species
GAAGGUGUAGCUCAAGUGGCAGAGUGUGUGCCUAACAUGCACAAGGUUCUGGGUUCAAUCCCCAGCACCUCCA